rnacentral:misc_RNA from 1 species
GCCUUUCUUCGUUCUCUUGGCUGGGAUGAAAACUGCGGUGAGGACGAAGGUCUUACUGAAGAAGAAAUCAAUUCUUUCUAUCGGGAGUACAUGAACUUGAAGCCAUCUCUAAAGAUGGGUCGAUGCAUUCAGCCAAAGAUAUUUGUGCCAUCUGAAUCUCAUGACAGCAAGGAUGGAGCCGGUUCUGAAUUGAGCUCAUCUGACUCGGAAGCCUG